rnacentral:lncRNA from 1 species
CACUUCCUGACCUUUGUUUCUGAUACAUUCUUUGAGAGGACAUCUCCACCUACCCCGUCACCUGGAUUGGAUCACCAGCCUCUCCCAAGAUGGGCCUGGCUUCCUCCUUGCUGGGGAAAGGAACAGGCAAUUCCACGGAGACGUCGUGCAGAUUGGCGGUGGCCAGGCUCCGGUGGAGGGAGGUGGCAGGCAAUGGAGAGUGGCUGCUGGCAGGCGUGGGGCUUCUCAGAAGAAAAAUGUUCUAAAAUUACCUUGUGGCUAUGGUUCCACACACUGAGACUAUACUAAAACCACUGCAUUUCCAGGCCGUAGGUCUAGUGGAAGCUGCUUCCGAGCCAUGGAGGAAAGCCAGCCUGUGACUGUUCAGCCCAAGCCUGACCAUAUACUGCAUGAACCUUUGGGAGUACAUUUUCUAUGCCUGCCUGAAGUAAGAUAAAGUUGAACAAUUGGGGGUAAAUACUUUGCAUAAUGGUGAGCCAGUGAUAGUUCCAGACAGUUUAUAGGGCUGCCAGGGAGUGUGGACUCGUGAGACAAGUGUGAACUCUUCACCAAGGCAGCCCACCGUACCAGAUACUUUGGAUGGCUUGAGCUCUGCAGGACCACUGGAUGGCUCGAGGUUCUGAGCAGGCAGAAGGCUUCUUUCAGAGCUCUUCAGUGACAAC